UAUCCCUCCCCCGAUCCCCCCUGCCCUUCCUUGGCGCCGCCAGCUCCGCCCACUUCUUGUGCGCGGGGGCGGCGGCUGAACCUCUUCGGCCCUUCCAUUCUCCAUCGGCCGGGGCCUGGGGGCCAUUGGGUGGGACAUUGCUAUUCCCCACCGCCGGCUGGCAGCGUUGACGGCAGCGACAAGCAGGAGCUUGCCGACGCAUGGAGGAGGUCGACGCGUCGCUGCUGCCUCUUUGCCACUGCCACGAUGCCUCCUCGCCGACCACGCAUCUGCCACCGGUGGAGAGUGCCCGCCGGAUGAAGGUUUGCCGCCCCAACAGAGCCGUGCACUGUUGUUGUCGCCGGCACCAGAGUCCUUGUCUUUCUUGCAGCCUUCUCUCGUGCCACCUCUCUUGUGACCCCACUAGAUUCAUGCUUUAACUCCUGGCGUCAUGGAUUCCUUGAUUAUAUGUUGAUGUUGUCUGCUCGGUAUUUUUGUUUGGUAUGAGGGGAAAAAAAUCGACGCAUCUUACAUGCCGUUGUUGGAUCUAAAUGGGCAACUGUCCAUCCAAAUUUGUUUGGUUGAUCAGAUAUUUGUCCAUUUUAUUGUCUUAAUGUAAUCACAUGUUCAUAAUUUUUCCAAUCAUCAGCGAAGAUUUGGGUGGCUGCGAUUGAUUGCCGUAGGGAAAACGAAGCAAGAACUCGAAGGAGCUCAAGAUUUUUCUACUACUUUGUUAAUAGCUUUGUGAGGUAAUUCAGCUACCUAUAUGUUUGUUUGUUUCCUGUUGUAGCAAGGUUAUUAUUUUAAUUUACAGAAUAUAAACAUGAUGUAUGAUUUAAGCGCCUAAUAGUAGAUGUUGCUAGCAUGAACAUAAUGUGUACUGUACUAAUCCUGACGAACAGGUUCAGUAACCUACAUCCAUCAGAACAUUGUGUGUCUUUUUUCUGUUGUCUCGUCUUUUCUCUUGUGGCCUUCCAAUACAAAAAGUCAAAUGCAAUGCAACUAUGAGCAUUGCCGACUUAUGAACACACUGAGCAUGUGAUCUAUAGCCUCAACACACUUUCAGGGUCUAUCUCAUUGCUUUUCUUACUCGUACGUAUGCAGCACAUACAGAGCAGCCAAGAUGAAACCUUCGGUUCUCAUCAGCUUCUGCAACUGAAAAAUCAUCUUUUAGGUAGUCUAAUUCUUCCAAAGUAGCGAGUGUCAAUGGAGACUUGACAUGCCUGGUUUUGCUUCAUGAAGAGUUGCAUUCUGAAAGUGACUAGGGAGGGAGGAUUGGUUGGAGGGAGGGAUGGAGACAGAGAAAGAUGGUUAGUGUUUGAUUCGCACACUAUCAAUCUGAUUUUUCUGUAAUUAUUUCAUGCACAUCUACUUUAUUUCUUCUUUGGUUUACGGAACAUAGGAGGUAUUAGUCAUGCACAUGUUAAUUGUUGUUACAAACAUGGCAAUGGAAUUCUGUUAAAUUUGUUCCCCAAGGUGGUGUUAUUUAGUUUGUGCUUCUUUUUCUAUUGGUGCGAAAAAUGAUUCAUUGGGUGAUUUGAUGCAUUCAUUUGUGAUCUUGUCGACCGCUACACCCGCUGGCAUCAAGAUGAGGUCAUGGUGCGGGCUUUGGGGUUUUGAGGGCGUGAAAUGGUGGCAUACAGAGAUGUCAACAGCCUGUGUACUUGAGUAAUGCUUGCUAAAGGUAUGCUAUAUAUUUCCUUUUGAAUUUAUUUUUUCUAUUGCUUUAGUCCUGUCAUAACCAGGAUACGUAAUGGACACAGUCCUAAAAAAUCCUUAUGAAUUUACUUCAAUCCAAAGAGGGCCUUAAUUGGGCAAUAGGGUUAUAAACCGAUAGUAAUUAUGUAUAAAAUGGAAGUGUUGCUUCAAAGAGAAUUUCAUGAGAUGCUCCUGUUCUUAGCUCUAAUCCAGUGGUAUUGCUGUAGGUCAGCAGUAAUGUUUUGCUUAUUAAAUUGAUAUUUGGGUAAGUUGGCAGUGUGCACGAGAUAUAUAGUUAACUUUUUAACUGCUACACUACGAAAAAAUCUAACAAUCUAACAGGGAGGAGAUGCCAAAAAAUUUGGGGCACAACGGGAGAUGCUAGAGGAUCGAACAUACAAACGCUGCUAGAGUACCCGCCAUUCCAGGGGCAUUCGCGGCGCGCAUGUGAUCUGGCUGCAUGAUCUGCCUCGCUGGCCUGAUUUUACAGUGCUGUCAAAAAUCCCGCGGUUAGUUUCUUUGGACAUUGAUCUUUCAUGCUACAGCGGAUGACGUGUGGGGCUCCUUUCCUCGCGGGCCUGUUUUGCAGUUACAUUGAGAAGAAACCUCGGGGUCCCGUAUGCUCUGUGCGCGGUGGAAUCGGGUAAAAACCUAGCUGCCAAUCCCCUCUCAUCCUCGAUCCCAGACCCCAUGCCUCGUCUCUCCUCUCUUGCCGCCGCCACCACGCCCAUUCUCCUCCUCCUCUACCCAGGGCUGCCUCUCCUCCUUUUCAUCGACCAGAUCCUACCGGAUCCUCCCGCGUGCCGGCUUAUCCUCGAAGAGAAGGGUCACAUCUGCAGGGGAAGAGGGGUGGGCCAGCAAAGUUGAGGAGUAGCAUCGCAGCUGGGUCUUCAUAGUUCGGGUGGAGGAGCAGGGGAGGUGGGUGAUGGGGGGAAGGAGCAGCGUGGCCGGCGACCGGAGCAAGAAGCAGCGGGGGCAACGCUCCCAUCGCACUAGGGUGGUUAGCCCUUGUUCGACAUGGCCCUCCAGGGCAUGCGACGCAGUGCGCCAAGCACUGCAGAUCUAAUUUUCCUCAUUGGCUUGCAGGUAUGCUUCGGCUAGGUUGUUCUUUCUCUUCCUUAAGCCUCUGUUUCUGAGAGGCAAACAAAUUGUAUGUCCUGCAGGUCUGAGCUGAAUGAGAGCAUGGACUUCAACAUUUAAGUGAUGAGGCAGCUAAAUGUACGUAAGUCAAAUUCGGCACAUAAAGUCUGAGUAGGUAUUUUCGGCCUUUCUUAAUGUAAAGAUGGUGAGUUGCCACUGCAAGAAGGUAAUUUUUUGCCUUUCCACAUGUUCAAGCAUAUGUUUGUAGAUUAAAAGUUGUGUUCUUUAGAGGUGCCUUUUGAGAUACAAGGCAUGGUUAUAUGUAAAUUUUAGUUCCCUUCAAUGACAUAUUAAUAGAUAUACAUGGGUUGUCACCCUACUUUUGAAAUCAGUUUGUGUAUUUGAGAUGGCAGAUUUUGGAUUAGUAGUUCUUCAGAGCACUAGAUGUUUGCCCAAGAUAAUAUUUGUUAUUUUUUAAUAUUUUUGAAUCUCUGCUGGAAUUCUAACCCUGCAUUAAUAGCAGGGUGUGCCGACUGAUAAAUAGUGUUGUGUUUGGUCCGUGUCUAGCAGUUGGCAUAUUGACCUAUAUUUUUCCUAUAAUAGUGUCCCUAAUUUGCAUUGAGCUGAUAUUACAUUUGGCUAAAAGAUAAAAAGACCUAUAUAGGAAUGUUGAUUGCAAACUUACCUCUUAAUAUUGUGUUGUUGACUUUUAGGAUAGGUUGAGGAGAGUUGCCACUGCAAGAAGGUAAUUUUUUCCCUCUGACACGUUCAAGCAUAUUAGGAGGCAAUCAAUGCAUGACUUAAUUUAAGAAUAUAUAGGUGUUCAUGCUCAUAGUUGUGCUGCCCGUUGGCACCAACAUGUCUAGAACAUCGCCUGUGACGCGUCAGUCGAUGGUCAAUGCUCCGUUGGUUCGCCGCCAUCCAUCCACCCCCUUCUGAAAUCUGAAUUUUGGAAUGAUGGAUAGAUUCUGAAAUCUGAAUUUCGAAUGAUGAUUAUGAAUUUGUCAUGGUGCACAUAUUGGCCUACGUUUCUUCUUUUCUCCUUUCAGAGAAGCAAUUCGUUUUGCUGUAUCCAGGAGGCGUGCACGACGCUCUUUAUAGGAAGGGAGAGGAAUACAAGCUAUUUUGGUCUGAGUAGUCUGAAUUUCUGCAUAUGACAUCAUGGUUUGGAGCAACAAUAAUACCAUUUGGAUUGGUUGGAGAAGACGAUAUAUGUGAUGCAAGUGCAACCUCAAAAGAUAUGUUAUCUUACUAUGUUAUCCCCUUGAUUAUCUAAUGUCUAGAAACAAUGUU